rnacentral:rRNA from 1 species
UCGUGGAGUAAUUUGUCAGGUUAAUUCCGUUAACGAACGAGACCUUAACUUGCUAAUUGGGGGCGAACAUUUCAUGUUCAACCCUAUUAGAAGGACCAUGUGUGUAUAACACAAGGAAGCGUGAGGCAAUAACA